ACGAAGGGGGCUAGCGUUGUUCGGAAUCACUGGGCGUAAAGCGCACGUAGGCGGAUUGUUAAGUCGGGGGUGAAAUCCCGAGGCUCAACCUCGGAACUGCCUUCGAUACUGGCAAUCUUCGAGUCCGGAAGAGGUGAGUGGAACUCCGAGUGUAGAGGUGAAAUUCGUAGAUAUUCGGAAGAACACCAGUGGCGAAGGCGGCUCACUGGUCCGGUACUGACGCUGAGGUGCGAAAGCGUGGGGAGCAAACAG
rnacentral:rRNA from 1 species